CCCUAUAUAUAUUUAUCUUAAUUUUUUUAAAUGGGAAAUUCUUCGUUUGGGAAUAGAGGUGAAUAUUACAAAUUUUCUUUCAAUAAUUUACUAAAACUUACUUUGUCAUGAAUUUUACAGAAGAUGCUUCGCCAUCAGUUAUAUCCUUAGAUUCCCCUUCACCACCAUCAACACCUAACCCACCAACCUUCAAUAGCGGGGUGCUACCAAUGUCUAAUAACCUUGAAUUAUUAUUCAAUAAUUUAUGAACACACAUACACAUACAUACAGAUGUUUCAUCUACCACUGCUAGUACGCCAACCAUUCCAUACCAGUUGCCGAUAAGUCCGCUAGAAUAUGCUAACAAUUCACAACUCAAUUCACAUGCACUUAACAGUUUUUAUGAUUAUUUUUCCAAGAUAUGAACCGCCUGCUCCAGAUGACAUGCAGUCAUACAUUUACAAUCGGCUGAUUAACGACGCGCAAGAACUCUCCUACUUAACCAGCCAGUGGAGCGUACAAGGUUUUAUGCAUACUACAACGAAUGAUGAGGAUAUGCAAAAUUUGCAGCGUUAAAAUUACCAAUAAAUCUAAAUUGUGCUGUACUUCAGCUUUACAAAUGUAAACAGUGAAGUUUGUGUCAAGAGCGUUCAUAACAUUAUUUACAGAAUACAAAACAGGCACUUAAGCAUAACGUCAAACUAAAAUGUAAAAUUUUUAUACCACAAUAUUGUAAGCAUUGAAUUAUACUGAAUUUAAUAUUUGAAGUGUUAUCGCAAAUAUGUAACAAGUUUCUAAGAAUCUAUAUAAAAGCGGAUUGAAAUAAAAAUAGAUAUACUUUUAGCAUAAAUGUAUUGAAAAGAAAAAAAAGAAAUUUUCCUUAAACAAACGAUACCACAAAUUCACAGUCUAUGGGUUCGACUAAAGCUGGUUUAUGGAGCCUCAGUCACGAGUCUGAAAUGAGCUGAGCGUAGCAUUUCUGAUGAGUAGAAUUCCUACUCACAAAUCAUUCCACCUCACAGAUUGAGAGCGAAUGGGGAUAAUAAAUGGGA